CCUACGGGGGGCUGCAGUGGGGAAUAUUGGACAAUGGGGGGAACCCUGAUCCAGCCAUGCCGCGUGUGUGAAGAAGGCCCUCGGGUUGUAAAGCACUUUCAGUGAGGAAGAACGCCUGGUGGUUAAUACCCAUCAGGAAAGACAUCACUCACAGAAGAAGCACCGGCUAACUCCGGGCCAGCAGCCGCGGUAAUACGGAGGGUGCGAGCGUUAAUCGGAAUUACUGGGCGUAAAGCGCGCGUAGGUGGCUUGAUAAGCCGGUUGUGAAAGCCCCGGGCUCAACCGGGGAACGGCAUCCGGAACUGUCAAGCUAGAGUGCAGGAGAGGAAGGUAGAAUUCCCGGUGUAGCGGUGAAAUGCGUAGAGAUCGGGAGGAAUACCAGUGGCGAAGGCGGCCUUCUGGACUGACACUGACACUGAGGUGCGAAAGCGUGGGUAGCAAACAGGAUUAGAUACCCUGGUAGUC
rnacentral:rRNA from 1 species